UACGUAGAAGACUAGUGUAUUCAUCUUUAAUAGGUUUAAAGGGUACCUAGACGGUAUAAUUAGUCUUAAACAGGAUACGAUUAUACUAGAGUUAUAUAUGAGGAGGUGAGUAUUUAUGCAGUAGAGUUGAAAUUCGUUGAUAGCAUAACGACUGGUAACGGCGAAAAGCAACCUUUUUAUCUAAUAACUGACGUUGAGGGACGAAGGCUCGGGUAACGAAACAGGAUUAGAAACCCC
rnacentral:rRNA from 1 species